GGUCUUCGGACGCUGACGAGUGGUGAACGGGUGAGUAAUACAUCGGAACGUGCCCAGUCGUGGGGGAUAACUACUCGAAAGAGUAGCUAAUACCGCAUACGAUCUGAGGAUGAAAGCGGGGGACCUUCGGGCCUCGCGCGAUUGGAGCGGCCGAUGGCAGAUUAGGUAGUUGGUGGGAUAAAAGCUUACCAAGCCGACGAUCUGUAGCUGGUCUGAGAGGACGACCAGCCACACUGGGACUGAGACACGGCCCAGACUCCUACGGGAGGCAGCAGUGGGGAAUUUUGGACAAUGGGCGAAAGCCUGAUCCAGCAAUGCCGCGUGCAGGAUGAAGGCCUUCGGGUUGUAAACUGCUUUUGUACGGAACGAAAAAGCUCCUUCUAAUACAGGGGGCCCAUGACGGUACCGUAAGAAUAAGCACCGGCUAACUACGUGCCAGCAGCCGCGGUAAUACGUAGGGUGCGAGCGUUAAUCGGAAUUACUGGGCGUAAAGCGUGCGCAGGCGGUUAUGUAAGACAGAUGUGAAAUCCCCGGGCUCAACCUGGGAACUGCAUUUGUGACUGCAUGGCUAGAGUACGGUAGAGGGGGAUGGAAUUCCGCGUGUAGCAGUGAAAUGCGUAGAUAUGCGGAGGAACACCGAUGGCGAAGGCAAUCCCCUGGACCUGUACUGACGCUCAUGCACGAAAGCGUGGGGAGCAAAC
rnacentral:rRNA from 1 species